AUGUGAUGCUGAAUUGUAUUGUCACUCUCUCUCUCACACGAGUGCACAUAUUUUCAAUUCAGUAUUUUGGUUUUCAAUAUAAUGAUUUCUUUUAUUGAUGACUUUCUUUUCAAUUACAGAUUGGAGUUGAUCGGAAAGACCUAGAUAAAACAUUUAUUCAGCUUACUCUCGAGAUUUUGGCUAAACAGAAAUUUGAAGCAUUUGACUCGAAAGGAUCUGUGGUAGCCGGAGAUAAAAGCAAGGAGGUUCUUGUCCGUGAUAUAUGGGUAUUUGAGAAGUCCAUGUUUCACCCUGGCGCAAGGUGGCGUCUAUGUGGACGGAUAACACCAAAAGCAUCAUACUUAUCUAGUUGAAUAAAAAGACUAAUAUUUAUGAUAGUUAGCUGUUCCCGUGUUGCAUCUUGUAACUGUUGAGCUGAAUUCUUAUAUUUGUUUGUCUCUGGAGCCUUGUCCUCUGAAUAUAAAAGUAUAGGUGUAAACCUGUGCAAAUUUUGUUAUUCGAAUGAAAUUCAUUUGGAAAUGUUUUAUUUC